CAAUAAGUGUUUAUGGGCACUUUCAAAUCCAUACCCACCUUGUGUGCAAUGUAUAAGAGUCCUUUCCAACUCGGAUUGACUUGAUUUUUCUCUCACAACGUCUUCAAUUGCAAGUCUAAGCUUUCAGAGUAAUCAAAAAAAACUCGAAUACA
rnacentral:misc_RNA from 1 species